GGGGGCGACUUGGUUUCGACGGGGGUAUCGAAGCAGCUCAGGGCAUGCCAAGGUCCAGUCACCUUGUUAAACCGCUGGAACAACCACAAACGCCAACGACGAGCGUUACGCUCUAGCCGCCUAACACCGGCUAGACGCUGCACUAGCUUGCUGAUGGGCUAGGCCGGGAAACCGGUGCAGCGUCAUUUACAUCAGCCUCUCCGCAUGGUCUGGUCGCUUGGCCGUGCGGAUCCGUCGAAGCGACUGGCUGAGCGCCAGCCUGCCGGCCGGCGGGCGCGAGGCGAGACCCAAACGACCAGGCUAAGCAUGUAGUCCUGACUGUGGAGGACUUCCGGACGCGGGUUCGAUUCCCGCCGCCUCCACCA
rnacentral:tmRNA from 1 species